rnacentral:rRNA from 1 species
UGGGGAAUAUUGGACAAUGGGCGAAAGCCUGAUGCAGCCAUGCCGCGUGUGUGAAGAAGGUCUUCGGAUUGUAAAGCACUUUAAGUGGGGAGGAAGGGCAGUAAGCGAAUACCUUGCUGUUUUGACGUUACCGACAGAAUAAGCACCGGCUAACUCUGUGCCAGCAGCCGCGGUAAUACAGAGGGUGCAAGCGUUAAUCGGAAUUACUGGGCGUAAAGCGCGCGUAGGUGGUUCGUUAAGUUGAAUGUGAAAGCCCCGGGCUCAACCUGGGAACUGCAUCCAAAACUGGCGAGCUAGAGUAGGGCAGAGGGUGGUGGAAUUUCCUGUGUAGCGGUGAAAUGCGUAGAUAUAGGAAGGAACACCAGUGGCGAAGGCGACCACCUGGGCUCAUACUGACACUGAGGUGCGAAAGCGUGGGGAGCAAACAGG